rnacentral:rRNA from 1 species
UGGGGAAUAUUGGACAGUGGGGGCAACCCUGAUCCAGCCAUGCCGCGUGCGUGAAGAAGGCCUUAGGGUUGUAAAGCGCUUUUACCAGGGAUGAUAAUGACAGUACCUGGAGAAUAAGCUCCGGCUAACUCCGUGCCAGCAGCCGCGGUAAUACGGAGGGAGCUAGCGUUGUUCGGAAUUACUGGGCGUAAAGCGCGCGUAGGCGGCGUAUCAAGUCAGGGGUGAAAUCCCGGGGCUCAACCCCGGAACUGCCCUUGAAACUAGUAUGCUAGAAUACUGGAGAGGUGAGUGGAAUUCCGAGUGUAGAGGUGAAAUUCGUAGAUAUUCGGAAGAACACCAGUGGCGAAGGCGACUCACUGGACAGUUAUUGACGCUGAGGUGCGAAAGCGUGGGGAGCAAACAGGAUUAGAUACCCGGGUAGUCC